UUUAUAUAUUGCUUGUUUCUCUGACUGUACAUAAUUCAAGAGUAUAUGACUCCGGCAAGCACGCACCGACGUCGAUUUCAACGUCAAUGGCUGUUUCCAACGUCUUGCCGAAGCAACGCGGGAUAAUCAAGGGUGGGAGUUCCUGCAGAACAGGAUAAACUCGGUAAUGAUCCUUCCGCAGGUUCACCUACGGAAA
rnacentral:misc_RNA from 1 species